CUCAAAGGAAUUGACGGGGGCCCGCACAAGCAGCGGAGCAUGUGGCUUAAUUCGACGCAACGCGAAGAACCUUACCAAGGCUUGACAUAUACCGGAAAGCAUCAGAGAUGGUGCCCCCCUUGUGGUCGGUAUACAGGUGGUGCAUGGCUGUCGUCAGCUCGUGUCGUGAGAUGUUGGGUUAAGUCCCGCAACGAGCGCAACCCUUGUUCUGUGUUGCCAGCAUGCCCUUCGGGGUGAUGGGGACUCACAGGAGACUGCCGGGGUCAACUCGGAGGAAGGUGGGGACGACGUCAAGUCAUCAUGCCCCUUAUGUCUUGGGCUGCACACGUGCUACAAUGGCCGGUACAAUGAGCUGCGAUGCCGCGAGGCGGAGCGAAUCUCAAAAAGCCGGUCUCAGUUCGGAUUGGGGUCUGCAACUCGACCCCAUGAAGUCGGAGUUGCUAGUAAUCGCAGAUCAGCAUUGCUGCGGUGAAUACGUUCCCGGGCCUUGUACACACCGCCCGUCACGUCACGAAAGUCGGUAACACCCGAAGCCGGUGGCCCAACCCCUUGUGGGAGGGAGCUGUCGAAGGUGGGACUGGCGAUUGGGACGAAGUCGUA
rnacentral:rRNA from 1 species